rnacentral:lncRNA from 1 species
AUAACCAUUGACAUCACCAUUCUCACCCUUUCCCUCUCUCUCUCCUCCUCUCCUCCUCUCCUCCUCUCCUCCUCUCUCACUCACAACCUUCUUCCUCUUCAGCCCCCUCCUCCACAUUAUUUCAUUCUCUACCUAAUUUUAAGGCUUAAGGCUAUGCCGAUGGCUGUCGAAGUAGCGAAAUCAGAAACCCUAGCCCCAAUCUCAAAUAAACUAAUGUUUCGGUAGAAGCAACCAUCGAAUCGAACAUUUUAGGAGGAACAGAGUCAUCUUGCAGCAACGAGGAAUGCGACAAAUUGCUUAAGUAAGCAAGUUUUUAUUUGGGUGUUCAUACAUUAAUUCUCGCCAAAAACAACGUAAUUUGUAGAGCAAUCAAAUUUCAUGGUAAUUUCAUUUGUUUAAGUUAAUGUGUAUUCUUUUUUAAUUCUGCCAUUUUUACUUAUUCAUAUUUAUCUCUCUCUUCAGUUUAGGUUAGUGUUUAGGAGAAAGUUAAAAGUUUAUAUGCAAAGGGACUGAGACAGGGACUGAGCUAGAUAGCAAUGAUGAUAAGGUACAAAAGGAAACCAGCCUUGUUGGUGAUGGAGAGUAGGGGGUGUGUUUGAGCCUUGUUCUGGUUCUUUUAUUAAAAUCAUCAAAUAUUGGUAAUCCAUUUCAUUUCACCAUAUAUUAACAAUAUCAUAUACAUAACAUAGGGUAACUUGUGGUAACAGGAAGGAUCAUUUGCACAAUAUAGGGUUUGGCAUAGUCCUUCAGGUGCAGUUUUCUAUUUUGUGAGCCAGUACAUUUCAUUUCAGGUUAUUUUAGGGGUUAUGCUUGUUUCUCUUUGAAUCUCGGUUGUUGGUUUUAUUUUUCUGACACUUUAAGUGCAGAGAGCAUUCUCGUCUAAUGCUUCUUGUUAUUGAUCAAGCAAAAAAUUUAAGUUUGCUUCUGAAACAGUUUUGGCAUGCAAUAUAUUGCAUUGUGAUACCCUUUCAAGUUGUAUCCUCGUGUGAAAUAAAGAAUGUUGUUAUAUUGUACAAAGUCAUCAGUUAUAUUUUUUCAAUUCAAAGAUUCUUGUUAUGGCACUAUAUGAUAUUUUACUUUCUCUUAUCUGUUACUCUUUUAAAGUAGUAGACAUCAGUUGUUAGUAAAGUAGUAUCUGUUUAUUUGGUGUAAUAAUACUAAUAAAAAUACCAACUGUACUAUCAAGAAGUCAUGUCCAAUUAUAGUAAAUUUUGAGUAUAGCUUUGAAGUUAAUAAAGCAAAAUAUCAAAAUUGGUUCAGUUCUUGUAGAACUCUUGAAAUUUGAUUGCGGGAGGAUUAAAACUCACUCCCAUAAGUUUAUAACAUUAGAUUUCAAGGUUUACCCUUGAUGAAAAUCAUACCCAACAACUAGAGUUUUUUGCUUUGUAUAAGAAAGCCAUGACCAUGCUGGAAACAAGCCUUGCCAUCUUGUAAAAGCAGGUGGACUGGUAGCCACAACAAUACUAAUUACAAACUUCAUGAGUAUAUUAAAAUUAAGCAAAGUUAACGAACUUGCUGCUAAGUCCCACAGAAUCUUCGCCAACCUUUCAUCUGUUGCAAAUUUGCUUGCAUCCAGUCAUUGCAGCCCUCAAAAUUCUUCCCAAUUGCACCUUUUCACUUUGGGUGGAGUGCUAUAUAUCAAGAAGUGGCUGCCCCUUGAAAAGAAUGGUAUCCUUAAGCUAUGUUCGGAACUCAUAAAUCUUUAAGAAAUUAUUAGUGAUUUACAUGCAUUUAUUUUACUUUAAACUUGUUAUGCUCUAGUUACUACUUUGAGAUGGAUGAUUAAUGCAUUAGGUAGAGUGCAUUCAGCUAAAGGAAACAUCCACGACAAUAGAAAAUUCAGUUUAUUUUGUAAACUGUUCUUUAGUUUUGUGAUAGCUGCUGAUUCUGUUGAGUCUUGCUUUGCUGCUUGCAUGAGAAGAGUAAAGAAUCGAUAU